UUGCUUUUUUUGUUUUAUAAAGUGACGUACAUACAAGCUAUCCCGAGUGGGGCACGAUUAGCGAAUAUUUGAAAGCAUAAAAAGGAAAAUUAAAAUAGUUUUUAAGCUGAAAUAGCGUGUUUUGAAACUAAAAGGUUUCCCAAAGAUUGGUUCCAUAACUUUAUUCCAUUGAUUUAGCUCACGGGACAAUAGAAUCAGGUCGGGAUAUAGUGUGCAAAGUCAUUGAAAACAAAUGGGAAAUACAUGUACAUAUACAUGUAUCAAAAUGCAUCAAUCACGGGGAAAAGGGUUGAUAACUACAUUUAAACAUGAUCCUGAUAGAAAUAACAUUCGUUAUUUAAUUUAUUAAUAAUAUCAUGCAUAAUAUUAUCAUUACAGUAGAUAUAAAGUAGAUGAGCUAAUUAUGUACUCUAUCCUGUUGAUCCAGAAAUAAGAAUGUCAAUCAUUACUUCUUGCAUGUACACAGGCAUGUACCAGGUAUAUAUUUAAUUUCAACAUUAACUGUAAAGCUUCAUGAACCCUUCCAAAAUUCUCUUAAAAUUAUGAGAAGACAUUUUUUUCCUAAAAUACAGGAAUUAGCAGCAGCGGAACUAGGAAUUUCAUAACUGGGGAUGGGUUGCAGUAGUAGGUGAAGGGAUUUGGUGGCUGCAUGGAAUGGAAAAGACUUGGCGGGAAUGCAAGGGCAAAGACCCCAUAAAAUUGAGGAAAUUCCAACACCUGGCGUUAUCCCUUUGAUUUUAGAAUAGCAUAAGCAAAAUUUCAUUUAAAAAAUUCAAAGGGGUAGGGGGCACAUGCCUGUCGUGCUUGCCCUGGAUCCGCCUUUGAUUAGAUAUUGGAAAUUUUCUCAUUUGUCGUACAUGUAGUACUACAAUUUAACUGUGUCUCCUAACAGGCCCUUACUGGGACCAUAGGAUAUUCAUCAUUCAACAAAAGAACAUUUUAUCUAUUCUAUAUAUUUUCAAUUUAUGUUACAGGGCUCCAGAAGGUACUACAAAAGGACAAUGCUUCGGCUGAAUGUGUCAUCCAUGUACCAUUAUCUGUUAAUGAGGUUUAUCUCAUAGUUUUCUUACAUGAAAACUUCCAAGUAAUUAAUGAUGGAAUUCAUUUUAAAUCAGUAUGCACCAUUCUGCUACAAAUACCGGGAAGGCCGAUGGAACUGACAUCAUUCAACCCCUCAUGACACUGAUAAUUCAUUAACUGGAAGAGAAUUUCCUUUGGGACAAACUAACUGUUUCAACAUUUUUCAUCUACAAGUUGAUACUGAUGAAAUUUUGUUUGAAGUAGCUAUGAGUGCACUGAAAGUAUUCUCAGGAUCUCGUCCGACAUCACAGGUACAACUGGUCACUGUGCAUUCUUGGUUAUGUAAGCAGGCAUAUUGUGAAGGCGGUGAUAUACGUAGCUCCAAUUCAAAAUGAUGCUUGACUGUUUUCCUUCGGUUUAUAAGUAAACUUGGAUCGAUAUCUGAUGCAGUAACAUAGAGCCAUGUCAUGUUUUAAAUUACAUUUUCCAACUAUCACAGAGUACUGAAAUAAAAGCGAUUUUGAUUCAA